UCCUUCCAUAUAUUUUUAAUCUUCCUCCAUAUAUUAUUCAUAUCCCUCCGAUUUUCUCUAAGUUAAGUAUUUUUAUAAGUUUAAUUUAUUUUUCAAAAACCCACGCCUUAGUGUGAACCCGCAAAAUAAAGCCCUCCGCCCCAAAAUUCAUAUAGCCGGAGCAAGCCUCAGUUUUGUCGACCUUCAACCGUCGGUGUUUCGGCCAGCAAUCGUCGGUUCUCUACCUUCAUUAUCUUUGGGAUUAUCAAAUCUCGGGUCUUCCUCUAUCUAUCUUCAUAUCUUUAGCUCGAUAUUUCUUAGGGUAUUACUUAUUGAAGUUAUUUAGGAGUCCAUCUAUAUGCAAACUGAAGUAUUUCAUGCGAAAAGUUUCAAAUAGUGGAACAUGAAUUCUCAAAUUUGAUUUUAUAGGUGGAAGAAAUUUUUCUGUAUGCGAGAUUAAAGUGGAAUUUGCCCCCUUUUCAGUUAAGAUUCUUCUUCUUUGAUUUUUUUUUUUCUUAAUUACCUGUUUUGACCCAUUUUCUUAUAGUUUUUUUCUGCUAUUUCUAGUUAGUAGUUUUCCUAUUAUCUUUUGGAGAUAGCGACUUCGCUAAAGGAAGGAAUGAAAAAGAUAAAUUAAAUUAGUUUUAUAGUGCAUUUCAUCAAAAUGAUCUCACUUGGAUUUGCGAUGGUUAAUUGAAAAUGCAACAUUGGAACUCUAGUACCAGAACAUUUGCAAUUUAAAAUUUUUUCAAGUAUGAAUUUUAUGUAUGUUUUAUAGCGACUUAACCCUGCAUGUCGAAGUAUAAUAUUGAAGUGUAAUAUUUUCGCCACUGAUUGUUGUGAGAUAUUAUUCUCCUUAGUUCUUCAUGUUCCAUUCACCAAAUGGUGUAUCUAUAGCUUAAUGCCUCAUUAUCUUACUAUUUCCACCAAACAAAGUGAAAAGAAGUAAAGUUAUAUACACAAAUAUUGUGGAAAUUAUAUACACUAAUGGAGGACUGGAUGAUUUAAUCUAGGAAGAUCACGUAAUAAUAACCUUAAUUCAUCGCCAUAUCCUCUUAUAUUCCUUAUGCAUGAUACUUCAUAUGCCUUUUGGUAAAAUAAUCCUAGAAUGUUGUAGGUAAUUGAAUUUUGUUGAUAUAUCUCUUGUACAUUGUGUCGUGAAUCUAGUAUUUAGUUGUUUGCUACUGCUUUUAAGUUUAUUUCUCUGUUGCAAAGAUCAAGUAGCUUUCCAUUCGGUGAUAAUUUUGUAAGUAUCCCAUGUUCCUUCUUAUUCUUUAAUGUUCCGCCGUGACCUCCUCUAUCAAACCCCCAAAGCCCCUUCCCUCGAAUCUGACUGGAACCCUUCGAAUACUAAAUUGAAGUUUUCCGGCCAAAACCUUAAUUACUCCAAACUACUCCAAAUUGAUACCACAUGGUCCCCUGGAUUCCCUCAUGAGGAAUUAAGCGUCAAUAGCACUCAAUUCCCACAGGAGAUGGCCGGAUUUGAACUUUGAGAGUUAGCCGGAGUUUUGAAACCGAGUUAGUGAGUUCCCCGAUUUUCUUCUCUUUUUCCUUUCUGGCGUUAAUUUAUUUGUCAUGACUGUUUGGCUUCUUGAUUACAUACUAAUCUUGGUUGUUAAUAAGUGCUAAUCCAAAAAUCAAUAAGUCCUCUUCAAUUCUGUUUCAAUUUCGUUCAACAGUUAUUUCAGUCCGAUCUUAUCAUUGUUUUAGUUUCUAGUUUAGUUUUGUUUGAUUGGUUUAAACUUGCCUGGGUAAUUCUUGGUGUUAGCUUAAUUGUUGUUUGAAUCCGUUCUAAUACAUGUUACAGUUUAUAAUUCUAAUUGAUUUUGUCUGGCCAUUGUUUGAUUUUAAUCUGCAUUGUUUGAUUUGCUAGUUUUGAUCAGUCAGUUUAAUUUAGUUUAAAUUCAUUAGUUGCAUUAGUAAUUCCAUACUCAAGGAUUAGUUUAAGGUUUGUUAGUGUUCUUGCUUAGCUCUUUAGGAUCAAUAAUUUCAGAUAGAUAAAGGGUAGUUUAGGCAUUUCUGACAAAGAAUAUUGUAGUAACUGAGAAUGAACUUCCUAGAAGCUUCUAAAUGGGGGCUUUAGGUAAAUUACAAAAGAUAAGUGUACUAACUUGGGUAACAAGUCAAUAAGUAGAGGACUAUUGUGAAAAUAGAAGAAGGACCAAAAGGAAAAUAGAAAAAUUGAGGGUUGCCCUCAUUAUUGCCUAUAAAAGGCAGUCCUCUUUGCUUCAUUCAUAAGUUUGGACCCCCAAAAUUCCCCCCAAAACAGUCUUAGUUCCUAGAAGUUAAUUUGAAUUUCAAAUUCAAACAUUAGAUCUCAAAUUUUCUUUCUCAUCUUAGAAAAAUCAAAAAAAUACACAAAAGCCACAGCAAAAUACAAAAAAACACUGUUACAUUGAUCAUUUUUUCAGAUUUCAGCUCUUAAUUCAACUGGUUGGAUCAUUUAGGAUAAAAAACAACUCGAAUUUCUCUAUUUGUGUUCUAUGUUCGAGAGUUAAAGCAUUUGCAAGUAGUUUGGGGUUUAUUCAAGUUGUUAUUGAUGUUUCUAAGUGUUGACUAGUUUUCUGGGCUUCUGGGCUCAAUUUCAAGUCUAUUUGCGUCUAUUCAAGUCAUCUUAGUUGAUUCGUGGUUCUAUCUUAUUUUGAUCACUUUCUGGAUUAUCGAGUUCAUCUCUGGGCUGUAUUUGAUUCCUGCUUGCUACUGCGGCUGAUACUUCUUCCUUUUUUUGUGAUUCUAAUACCAGGUACACUUUCAUAGCCUUUAAUGAUCUGGAAGUUUGAUUCAUGUGUAUGAAUAAUUUGGGGAAUAAAUGAAGAAGAGUUGGUAUCUGUUGACCUGAGUUUACUUAGAAUCAUUUUUAGCUUUUAAUAUUCAUUUUAGCUAUUCAUGUUUAAUUGUAAUUAUAACAAUUGUUUGAACUGUCUGAUGUGUAUUGGACUAUAAUAGGACUGUUUUGAGACUAUUCUUAACUUGUGGAUUGUGAGUUGAUUUUAUGUCGGCCUGUGAGCAGGUGAAUCCAUUAAUUAGUAAUUUUAUUUUGGGUUUAGCUUGUGUUACGAGUGUAGUGUAAUUCGAAUCUAUAUGAUAGUUGUAUUUUACAGUUGGAAAUUGAACUAAUAAUCAGUACGCAUGCUCCUAUUAUGUUAAGCAAUAAACAGUUUUAGUAAUAAUUCAGUAGUGCAAUUUUGGAAUCACGAGAUCGCCUGAAUGUUGAAUGACAGCUUAGUAAUGCUAAUUUGAAUAAGUAUCAUGUAAUUGAGCUGCUAAUACUGUUGUUUUCAGUUUGAUUUUUACCUUUAGUGAAUAUUAGGAGCUCACUAGUAGAUAGAUAAAUAAGAUAAUCUAAGUAUGGAACUGGAGACAAGAGGGGCUUGGUCUGAUGGUAACCAACCCUCACUUACAACCGAAAGGUUGUGAGUUCGAGUCUCCCCAGGAGCAAAUUCUGGGGAUUUAUGCCGGGGGUCUAUUUGGAAACAGCCUCUCUACCCUNNNNNNNNNNNNNNNNNNNNNNNNNNNNNNNNNNNNNNNNNNNNNNNNNNNNNNNNNNNNNNNNNNNNNNNNNNNNNNNNNNNNNAAACAGCCUCUCUACCCCAGGGUAGGGGUAAGGCUGCGUACACACUACCCUCCCCAGACACCACUGAGUGGUAUUGUACUGGGUCGUACUUUUUUUUAAAGUAUGGAACUGGAAUUCAAUUGAUCAAUAUCUUGUUAAUUUGAGUAAGUGAAUAUUGUUUUUUCCUUGUUGCAAUCAUUGCACUUGAAAUAAUUAGAAGUAUAAUCAGCAGAUCCUUGUUUAAAAGAAUCGAUGCUCUACUAUUCGGUGUAAAGGCCCGGACGCAACAGCUCUGUGACGACCCGGUCGGUCGUCUUUGAAAUUUAUGUUCCGUUCUUCCAUUAAUUGUCUCUGCUAAGUUUAUUUUUUCUAUUUUGGUUUGUCGGGACGUUUGGUGUUAGAAUUCGGAGUGUUUCGGGACAUUUAGUCCCUAAAUGAGAGAUUAAGUGUUGGAAAGUGGUCCGUAAUCGGAACAAUGUGAAGACGACCUCAAAAUGGGAAUCCGAGGGUUUCGUUAGCUCCUUGAGGUGAUUUCGGGGUUGGGAGCGUGUUCGGAAUGUAUUUUGGAUGUCCGUAGCUCAUUUAGGCUAGAAAUGCAAAAAGUUAGAAUUUAGAGAUUUCCGGUCCGAUAGUGAAUUUUUGAUCCGAGGCUCGGAAUGGGAUUCUGGAAGUUGCGGUAGCACCGUCAUGUCAUUAUGUGCGCGCAAAAUUUCAGGUCAAUUGGACGAGUGUUGGGUAUGUUUUGGAUCGAAAGCGUAUUUUAGAGGAACUUGAAGUUCUUAGGCUUGAAUCUUUGAUUUAAUCGGGUUUCGGUGUUGUUUUGGAGGUUUUAUGGAUUCGUACAAGUUUGAAUAAGGCGUUAGAUGGUAAUUGUGUUUUUUGGUUGGGGUCCCGGGGACCUCAAGAUGAUUUCGAAUGGUCGACGUGUUGAUUUUCCUAAGUGUGCAACAACUGAACUUUUCAUCUACUGGUAUUUUCUCUUAUGCGGCUUGGGAACCGCAUAAGCGGCCUUCACACCACAGAAGCGAGUUGGUCUUUUUCCUCAGAUACUACAGAAGCGGUCAGUUAUCCGCAAAAGGAGGAGCCGCAUAAGCGGUUAUAAGUCCGCAUAAGCGGACUCUGACCCCUUAAUGAAAUCCGCAGAAGCGGAUACUUGGUCGCAUCCAGGACCGCAAAAGCGGAAAUCGCUGUUCAGAUAAGAGAAAUUCGAGGGUUAGUUUUCAAAAGUUAAGAAAAUCAAAUUGAACUCGGGGAAGGGCGAUUCUGGGAGGAUUUUGAAGAGGAGAUUAUUGGGUAAUGUUCUAUGAUCCUUUCUAGUUAUAUUCCAUCAUUUUGUAGUUUAGUCCAUUAUUUAAAUUCGAAUUCAAGGUCAAAUUUGGGGGAAAAAUUGGAUGAAACUUCAUUGACCAAACUAUUGAGUUUUUAGGGGGCUUUUGACCUCCGAUUUGGAUGAAUCUUAUAUGGAUAGACUCGUGAGAGUACGAGAGUUCUGAAAAUGUGAAAAUUAUUCGAUUCCGAGACAUUGGCCCGAGGAGCGUUUUGGCCAUUUUACCUAUUUUCGCGCCUUAGAUUUACUUUUAGUAGUUGAAUUAGUUACUCGCGAUGUUAUAACAUUAUGUAAUUGGUUUGAAUAGAUUUGGGCCAUUCAGAGUCGGAUACUCGUGGCUAGGGCAUCAUUCCUUAUUGAUGUUUUGCACCGGUUCAAGGUAAGUGGCUUGUCUAACUUUGUGUGGGGGACCUCUUCCCUUAGGAUCUAUUACCUAUUAUUUUAAAUGCUCGGUACGCGAGGUGACGAGCGUGUACUUGUGCUGGUUGUUGAAAAUUCAUUUUACUUAGAACAUUUAACUGUGUUUUCUUGCAAAUUUGCCUAUUUUAAAUGCAAUUUAACUUGUGUAGCUUAGGAUAAAUAUGUUUAGAUAACUUACUUGCUUAAACUGUAUUACCUAUCCUACGUGAAGCAUGCUAGACUAGAAAUUUCAUUAAUUAUUCUUACUUUAGCACUUUAUCUUAUUUGAAUUGUGUGGUAUUACGGCAUCCCGCUAAUUCUCUUUGUAUGUAGUUUUUUCUAUGACUGAGGGUGCGUGAUACCAAGAGAUCCCUGACACAAAUAUGAUUACAAAAUGGAGGAUACCUGGAUAUCCUCGGGAUAUUAAGAGAUCCCUUGUAUAAAAUAAAAGAUAGUAAGAGAUUCUCGGGAUACUAAGAGAUCCUUUAUGUAAAUAACGGAGGAUACUAGGAGAUCCUCGGGAUACUAGGAGAUCCCUCGAGUAUAUGAUGAGGGUACCAGGAGAUCCUUGGGUUACCAGGAGAUCCCUGAUGACCGAUAUCCGACGGUGAUUUGCACUUCUAUUACUUAAUGUGUUAGUUCUCGGUUAGUGUCGUAAUUAUUAUUUUUGCUAGAUUCUCGUAGUAUAUUAUUUCCAUAUGGUUUUCCUUAUUCUAUUGAUUAUUAUGUUUUUAUCUCAGUAGGGCCUCGACCUUUCCUCGUCACUACCUAAUCGAGGUUAGGCUUGCCAGUUAAUGAGUACUGAUGUGGUGCACUCACGCCUCUUCUACAUAUGUUUUCAUGUGCAGAUCCAAGUACUUCUGGUCAGGUGCACUAUCAGUGAUCCAUGAACUAUAUUCGGAGACUUGUGGUAUAUCUGCCGCGUCCGCAGACCGAAGAGUCUCCUUCUACUCUACCUUAUAGUUAGCAGUUCCAUUUCAUGUAUUCAGUUGUUGUAGACAUUUUAGGAUAUUAGAGCCGUAUCUUAUAUUUCUCUUAGCCUGUGUUGCCCGUGGGAUUCCAGGUUUUGGGGAGUUAUUGCAGAAAUCUUUGUCAUGACUCAAACCCGGUCGUGAUGGCUCCCAACCAUAACGCUAGGAAAGACUGACCAAAAAUCGCUCUCAUUUCGAUAAUAAAUCUCAA
rnacentral:lncRNA from 1 species